rnacentral:rRNA from 1 species
AUGUUAGGGGGUUUUCCGCACCUUAGUGCUGAAGUUAACGCAUUAAGCACUCCGCCUGGGGAGUACGGCCGCAAGGCUGAAACUCAAAAGAAUUGACGGGGGCCCGCACAAGCGGUGGAGCAUGUGGUUUAAUUCGAAGCAACGCGAAGAACCUUACCAGGUCUUGACAUCCUCUGCCAAUCCUAGAGAUAGGAUGUUCCCUUCGGGGACAGAGUGACAGGUGGUGCAUGGUUGUCGUCAGCUCGUGUCGUGAGAUGUUGGGUUAAGUCCCGCAACGAGCGCAACCCUUGAUCUUAGUUGCCAGCAUUUAGUUGGGCACUCUAAGGUGACUGCCGGUGACAAACCGGAGGAAGGUGGGGAUGACGUCAAAUCAUCAUGCCCCUUAUGACCUGGGCUACACACGUGCUACAAUGGAUGGAACAAAGGGCAGGGAAGCCGCGAGGUCAAGCAAAUCCCAUAAAACCAUUCUCAGUUCGGAUUGCAGGCUGCAACUCGCCUGCCGAAGCCGGAAUCGCUAGUAAUUAUUAUAUCAGCAUAGCCCGGGUUUCCGUUGGUUAUGCCUUUUACACACCCCCGGUCCCCCCGUGAGAUUUGGUAACCCCCGAAGUGUUCGACGGGACUCUUCUGAGCCAGAGGAUCGACGGGGGACCGCGCUCGAGGUGCAGUCUAAUCAGGCGUACG